rnacentral:rRNA from 1 species
CAGUCGCCGCGGUAAUACGUAGGGUGCAAGCGUUAAUCGGAAUUACUGGGCGUAAAGCGUGCGCAGGCGGUUUUGUAAGACAGAGGUGAAAUCCCCGGGCUCAACCUGGGAACUGCCUUUGUGACUGCAAGGCUAGAGUACGGCAGAGGGGGAUGGAAUUCCGCGUGUAGCAGUGAAAUGCGUAGAUAUGCGGAGGAACACCGAUGGUGAAGGCAAUCCCCUGGGCCUGUACUGACGCUCAUGCACGAAAGCGUGGGGAGCAAACAGGAUUAGAUACCCCAGUAGUCCCUGUCUCUUAUAC